rnacentral:lncRNA from 1 species
UAACAAUGCAGCAUCCUGAGAGGACUGUUCACCCCCUCCAGUGCUGUGGUCUGAAUGCUUGCAUCCCCCCACAUUUGUAUGUUGAAAUCUUAACCCCCAAGGUGAUGGUGUUAGGAGGUGGGGCCUUUGGGAGGUGACUACGUCAUGAGGGUGGGGCCCCGUGAAUGGGAUUAGUGCCCUUAUAAAAGGGGCUGCAGAGAGCUGGCUGGCCCCUUCCACCACGUGAAGACACAGCAGGAAAUUGGCAGCCUGCAAUUGGAGGAGGGGACUCGACAGAACCCGACCGUGCUGGCACCCUGAUAUUGGACUUGCAGUCUCCAGAACUGAGUGAAAUAAAUCUCUGUUUCUAAGCCACCAAGUCUGUGAUACUUUGUCAUCAAAGCCCGAAUGGACUGACACUCAUCUUCCCAGAAAUUGGCUCCCACAGUUACGGAGGUGAGAAGUCCCAGGAUCUGCCAUCUGCAAGCUGGAGACCCAGGAAAGCCGGUGGUGUAAUUCAGUCGGAGUCUGAAGGCCUGGGAACCAGGGGAGCCAAUGGUGUGAGUCCCAGCUGCAGGCUCAGGGCCCAAGAACCAGGAGCUCCGAUGUCCGAGGACGGGAGAAGAUGGAUGUCCAGCUCAAGAAGAGAGGGUGAAUUCACCAUUCCUCUGCCUGUUUUAUUUGGGCCCUCAACGGACUGGAUGAUGCCCACCCAUGUUGGAUGGAGCCAGCUAAGUUUGGAAGCUGCUUGAUUCCUGGUGGCCCAGGC